AGAAAGAGAGUGAGAGGAGAGAGUAGUUCUGAAGGUGAAAGCCCAAGAAGGAGUUCUUGAGCUGUGAAGGUCCAUCUUCUUCCUUCUUCUCCCUUUCAGCCAACCUUCUGCCUCCCUGUGAGCCAGCACUCCCCGGGAAGCUGAUGAUUCCAGAGCUUCGCGUGGACGAAUUAUCGAGGCCGGACGCUUGUGCGGCUGCGAAGCAUCCUUGAAGGAACCUCCUUCUAAAGUGAUGUAGUCGGCAACAAAGGAGAGGGAGGGGAGAUGGGGCCGGCGAUGAGGUCGAGGACAAGGGAGAGCCUGACGUCGGGCGGCGAGGUAGUCAAGGAAGAGGCAAAGGCAAAAGAAGUAGGAAUAGGGCUGGUGACGCAGCCGGGGACGAGGGAUGGCUCAACUUCAGGUAGAGGGAUGGCCAACAAGGCCUCGGGAGCCAAUGUGGUUGGGUGGAGACGACAAGGCUGAGGGCGAGAUUGGACAAAGAAGAAGGGUUAGGCAGAAAAGGGUGAAAACCCACUUUUAAAAAAAUAGAAGUAAAAAUUUUCAUUUUUACUUUUUUCAGAAAUAAUAGAAGUUGUUUAAAAAAACAAAAACAGAAAUAAGGUAACCAAACAUAUUUUAUGCAUUGGAUUUCGUAUUUUUGUUUUAAAAAUAAAUAAAUAAAUAAAAAGUACCAAAUAAGCCCUAAACCUCUCCAUAAGUGGGCUAUUAGGACCAAUCAUGUAGCAUUUAGUUUUCCUAAGAAUAGAUCAAAUAAUUCAUCAACAUAAAAAUUACAGCUUCUUGGAAACCCCUUGUCAUGAUAAAAACUUCAAGAAAAGAAAUUUAUCUCAACUUUUCAUCCAAUCAAACUGUCAAAGAAAUCAAAGACUAGGCACCAUAGGCAACCUCGAGCCAAGUAUAAGGUGCUUUAUACAAAUUAAAGAUUAAAACAAGAAGAUGUUAGAAAAGGCCAAGAGAUGCAUUUAAACUCUUAAUUAGGGGAUGGUUAAGCCUUGCGAUAUAAUAAGAAUCAUGCACCUCCUUCUUAAGUAAAAAAAAAAAAGAGAAAUGGAAUGAGAGAAGCAUUUUACUUCUGUGAGAUAUUGUGCCUAAAUUCAGCAAGUGAGAACCCUCAUAGAGAUGCAUAAUAUUGAAGCUAAUAUAGUAUAUGGAAGCAACAGUUGGUUUGAUGUCAUUGCCAUUUAUAUUCAUCAAGGGCUAAAACAUACAAUAAUAGGUCAUACAAUACCAAAGUUUAGCAUAGAAGUCCAUGCAAAACAUUAUGCAGAUAUAAAUACAAAUACAAGUAUUAUCGCUUUCCUUCCACAAGUUGUUUAAGUAAUUAAGCCUGUUAUAUAUAGCCACAUAAAAGGCAUAUAAUAAUGCAGAAACACUCAUAUAAUCUGGGCUUGCCACACUUCAGAUACUAUCACAGUAUCACCUAUAAGUCUCCAGGCUAUUAGAUGCCUGCCUUGAUGCAUAACAUUAGGUAAGCCUCAAAUAAGCCCUUUUAGGAAUUAAUUAUUGUAGAGGAGAUGGCAUCCCUUGCCUGAGCUUUCUCUGGAAGGACCUAAACCGAAUCUGCUCGCCACAAACAAGGUCAAUCCCAUGGUACAACUUUUCAUGCACCAAAUCAUUCAAUCUAUAAACCAUAUCCUUGACAGACUUCAAACACUAAGCCGCACACAAACUGGGCUAGAUUGUUGGGCCUUAGGAACAACUUACCAUCAAAAGAUAUUUGGUCUUGUUUCGAAAUACAAUAGUCUUCCUUGAGUUCUCAUAAUUGUUGGAAAUGAUUCAAUUUCAUACUAUCAUCACUGGCUGUUUG